rnacentral:rRNA from 1 species
AUUGAACGCUGGCGGCAUGCUUUACACAUGCAAGUCGAACGGUAACAGGCCGCAAGGUGCUGACGAGUGGCGAACGGGUGAGUAAUGCAUCGGAACGUGCCCAGUCGUGGGGGAUAACGCAGCGAAAGCUGUGCUAAUACCGCAUACGAUCUAUGGAUGAAAGCGGGGGACCGUAAGGCCUCGCGCGAUUGGAGCGGCCGAUGUCAGAUUAGGUAGUUGGUGGGGUAAAGGCUCACCAAGCCAACGAUCUGUAGCUGGUCUGCGAGGACGACCAGCCACACGGGGACUGGGACACGGCCCAGACUCCUACGGGAGGCAGCGGUGGGGAAUUUUGGACAAUGGGCACAAGCCUGAUCCAGCAAUGCCGCGUGCAGGAAGAAGGCCUUCGGGUUGUAAACUGCUUUUGUACGGAACGAAACGGUCCGGGUUAAUACCCUGGGCUAAUGACGGUACCGUAAGAAUAAGCACCGGCUAACUACGUGCCAGCAGCCGCCGUAA